rnacentral:lncRNA from 1 species
CAGCAAAUUAUUUGGGUGGUGAGGAAAGAGAAAGAGAACGAUGAAGAACAGGAGAGGUGGUUGCCUGAAGGAUACAAAAAAAGGAUGGAGGACAAGGGUUUAAUAAUAAGAGGGUGGGCGCCCCAAGUUCUAAUCCUUGAUCAUGAAACGCUCCUGCGCCAAAGCAAUUACAAUUUGAAACCAUGUAAAAGCUCAUAUAUGCUGGAUUUCUAUGAUUUUUAAUAUAUUAUCUUGUUGAGAUAUCUCCAAUAGCCUAUAUCGCCUACUUCUUGUAUGAUUGAGGUAACCAUCGACUCAUCUUGAUAAUUAAUUAAUUUUAAUAAAUAAAUAAAUAAUAAUGCUUACCAACCAUUUUCAAACUUAUUUACUCAAAUUAUGUAUCACUUCACCUUUAUGGUCCAUAUCAAUAUUAUAUUUUUUCAGUUUCCCUUUCGGUUUGUUAUUUAGUUUUUUAUAUACACAUGUAUGUAUUUUUUAUUACAUGUAUUUCCAUUUAUUUAUCCUGUUUUAUUUUCUUCUUUUUAUCCUUUUAUUUCUUCUUCUAACCUUUUUCAACCUACCCAGCUCCGAUAAUAGGCGUUGAGUAGUUAAGUAUAUUUGCCCAUACACUUCGUAAAACUCAAAAUGCAGCAAGGAACACAUAAAAUACACCCCGCAAUAAUACGAGCAAUAAUUCAAAAGAGAAACAGGUAGAUAAUAGAUUCAUCCCACUUGCAGUUUUCCUCAUUGACAUACCAAAUAUACAAUACAUAUGUCUGAUAAAUAAUACAUGUGUGUUUGUGCGUGUAGAAAAAGAUAAAUAAACAUACAAAUUAUGCAACUUACAAUAAUUCAAGACAAAUCCACUACAGAUAAUUUGUCAGCAUCCACUCCUGCAAAAUUGCCAUUGAAAACACAGAUUUAUACAGCAAAACUUGGGUCAUAACUGUGCAAAUUGCGAGCAAAAGAACAGAAUUGUAAAACUUGAUUGGGAGAAAAAAACAAAUAUCAUACUUGCUUCAAUAAACAACUAAAACAAUUACAUGAAAUUCAGUGAAACUUUGAAUACAGGAAAGUUUAUUAAAACUAAGAAAAUAAUGGGUUGAUGACCGACACUUGUUGAUAUGAUUUAGAUCCCAAAAUAUUCAGAAAUCAAAUUAAACAAAUAUGGAAACAGGGGUGGUGACUGACCAUAUUUCACAGUAAAAAAAUAAGAAAAAGUGAAAUUUUUUUUUCAUUUCGGAGCAAAUUAAGUGAGAAAUUUACUUCAGAUUACGGCAAUUGGGAAUUUCCACAAAGAUUGGAAAUUUAUUUUCCUCCUAAUCGUCGGUCGGAGGUCUGUAAGAAUCAAGCUGCCAUCACAGAAGAAACAGUCAAUAAAAAAAAAAGGUUCAGCAGUUCCUUUAAUUUCUAGUCAAUCAAGCGUUGAUCUUCAAAAUUGCAGAGCUUCUGGAGCAAUCAAAGCGUUGAUUUUCAAAAAUCCAAGCUUUACUGGCUGAAGAGUUCGAUAUUCCCACCAGCCAAGACAAUUAGGCUCAACUGUUAUGGGUCCCUACUACACGAACCCACAUUCUCAAUAUGGAGUGUCCCGUGGCUCGGACACAGGGGAAUGCUUCAGAUGAUUUAUUAGAUUGACC